GCUGUGAGGGCGAUCUGACUGUCACCUUUCUGAUAUGAGGGUUGAUUCGGCUCAUCUGGCUGGCUGCGUGGGCGUUCCCCUCCUCCUUCUCUGCUGCGUGUACGUCCCUAUCGACGCUGCCUGCUGGGUGGAACAGUACCACCUUCCACGCCAGAGGAGGACGGGUCUUCAGUCAAGGGUGCACAAGUAGCUGCACUCCACUGCUGGAUCCUCCAAAUAUGCUCUCAAAGAUAAAGUGGUCUGGAGCUCCACUAUUAAUCUGAAAUAAAGUUAUGUCACUAAAAUCAAAAUGAGACAUAAACU
rnacentral:snRNA from 1 species